rnacentral:lncRNA from 1 species
CAUCCUGCUACUGUGCUGAAGACUUCACAAAUCUUAGUGAACCCUGCAACAUUAAGUCAUAAAGAACCGAAAACAUAAGAGCAAGAAAUUAAUAUCAGACAGGUUUGUACAAAAUGAUGUCAAUUAUUAAGUUGAUUUAUUAAAAGGUACUGUACUAAAGGAUCAAGCUCAACUGUGAAUUUCUUGGUAAUUAGUUGAAAUAGUAUUAUAAUUAUUACGCACUUUGUUUGCUUUUAUGUAUUUUGUUUGUUAUAUUAUUAUCUGUCCUGAGCCGGGGGUCUAUUGGAAACCGCCUCUCUACUUCAUGAGGUAUGGACUGUAUACACUUUACCCUCCCAGACCCCACUUGAUGGGAAUACACAGAGUAUGUUGUUAUUGUUGUUCUUUUGGUUAAAUGAUUAAUGAAACCUAUUCAUUGGUGCGGGACAGUGAGGGUAGUGGGGCACUAGCUAUAGAAUUAAAGAUGGGUUAUUAGAAAGUGCAUACGUGGAGCAGUCAAUGGAAGGGCUAAUUUCGUAGGGAAGAUUGACACCACAUUUUCUAGGGAGAGCAGAAGCAAGGGCGAGGUUGAUGCCGCUGAUGGUUCCGGCAGCCGAUUUGAUGCACUUACAAGCCAUCUGACGAUCAGGAGUUGUGGUAGCUUGGCCGUUGAGGGCCUUAAUUCCUUCGCAACAUUUUGGUGAAACAACACCAACUCCCCUCACGUA